AAGCGUAACGGAGGAGCACGAAGGUUAGCUAAUCCUGGUCGGACAUCAGGAGGUUAGUGCAAUGGCAUAAGCUAGCUUGACUGCGAGCGUGACGGCGCGAGCAGGUGCGAAAGCAGGUCAUAGUGAUCCGGUGGUUCUGAAUGGAAGGGCCAUCGCUCAACGGAUAAAAGGUACUCCGGGGAUAACAGGCUGAUACCGCCCAAGAGUUCAUAUCGACGGCGGUGUUUGGCACCUCGAUGUCGGCUCAUCACAUCCUGGGGCUGAAGUAGGUCCCAAGGGUAUGGCUGUUCGCCAUUUAAAGUGGUACGCGAGCUGGGUUUAGAACGUCGUGAGACAGUUCGGUCCCUAUCUGCCGUGGGCGCUGGAGAAUUGAGGGGGGCUGCUCCUAGUACGAGAGGACCGGAGUGGACGCAUCACUGGUGUU
rnacentral:rRNA from 1 species